GGGUUGUGAGGUUAAGCGACUAAGCGUACACGGUGGAUGCCCUGGCAGUCAGAGGCGAUGAAGGACGUGCUAAUCUGCGAUAAGCGUCGGUAAGGUGAUAUGAACCGUUAUAACCGGCGAUUUCCGAAUGGGGAAACCCAGUGUGUUUCGACACACUAUCAUUAACUGAAUCCAUAGGUUAAUGAGGCGAACCGGGGGAACUGAAACAUCUAAGUACCCCGAGGAAAAGAAAUCAACCGAGAUUCCCCCAGUAGCGGCGAGCGAACGGGGAGCAGCCCAGAGCCUGAAUCAGUGUGUGUGUUAGUGGAAGCGUCUGGAAAGGCGCGCGAUACAGGGUGACAGCCCCGUACACAAAAAUGCACAUACUGUGAGCUCGAUGAGUAGGGCGGGACACGUGGUAUCCUGUCUGAAUAUGGGGGGACCAUCCUCCAAGGCUAAAUACUCCUGACUGACCGAUAGUGAACCAGUACCGUGAGGGAAAGGCGAAAAGAACCCCGGCGAGGGGAGUGAAAAAGAACCUGAAACCGUGUACGUACAAGCAGUGGGAGCACGCUUCGGCGUGUGACUGCGUACCUUUUGUAUAAUGGGUCAGCGACUUAUAUUCUGUAGCAAGGUUAACCGAAUAGGGGAGCCGAAGGGAAACCGAGUCUUAACUGGGCGUUAAGUUGCAGGGUAUAGACCCGAAACCCGGUGAUCUAGCCAUGGGCAGGUUGAAGGUUGGGUAACACUAACUGGAGGACCGAACCGACUAAUGUUGAAAAAUUAGCGGAUGACUUGUGGCUGGGGGUGAAAGGCCAAUCAAACCGGGAGAUAGCUGGUUCUCCCCGAAAGCUAUUUAGGUAGCGCCUCGUGAAUUCAUCUCCGGGGGUAGAGCACUGUUUCGGCAAGGGGGUCAUCCCGACUUACCAACCCGAUGCAAACUGCGAAUACCGGAGAAUGUUAUCACGGGAGACACACGGCGGGUGCUAACGUCCGUCGUGAAGAGGGAAACAACCCAGACCGCCAGCUAAGGUCCCAAAGUCAUGGUUAAGUGGGAAACGAUGUGGGAAGGCCCAGACAGCCAGGAUGUUGGCUUAGAAGCAGCCAUCAUUUAAAGAAAGCGUAAUAGCUCACUGGUCGAGUCGGCCUGCGCGGAAGAUGUAACGGGGCUAAACCAUGCACCGAAGCUGCGGCAGCGACACUAUGUGUUGUUGGGUAGGGGAGCGUUCUGUAAGCCUGUGAAGGUGUACUGUGAGGUAUGCUGGAGGUAUCAGAAGUGCGAAUGCUGACAUAAGUAACGAUAAAGCGGGUGAAAAGCCCGCUCGCCGGAAGACCAAGGGUUCCUGUCCAACGUUAAUCGGGGCAGGGUGAGUCGACCCCUAAGGCGAGGCCGAAAGGCGUAGUCGAUGGGAAACAGGUUAAUAUUCCUGUACUUGGUGUUACUGCGAAGGGGGGACGGAGAAGGCUAUGUUGGCCGGGCGACGGUUGUCCCGGUUUAAGCGUGUAGGCUGGUUUUCCAGGCAAAUCCGGAAAAUCAAGGCUGAGGCGUGAUGACGAGGCACUACGGUGCUGAAGCAACAAAUGCCCUGCUUCCAGGAAAAGCCUCUAAGCAUCAGGUAACAUCAAAUCGUACCCCAAACCGACACAGGUGGUCAGGUAGAGAAUACCAAGGCGCUUGAGAGAACUCGGGUGAAGGAACUAGGCAAAAUGGUGCCGUAACUUCGGGAGAAGGCACGCUGAUAUGUAGGUGAAGUCCCUCGCGGAUGGAGCUGAAAUCAGUCGAAGAUACCAGCUGGCUGCAACUGUUUAUUAAAAACACAGCACUGUGCAAACACGAAAGUGGACGUAUACGGUGUGACGCCUGCCCGGUGCCGGAAGGUUAAUUGAUGGGGUUAGCGGUAACGCGAAGCUCUUGAUCGAAGCCCCGGUAAACGGCGGCCGUAACUAUAACGGUCCUAAGGUAGCGAAAUUCCUUGUCGGGUAAGUUCCGACCUGCACGAAUGGCGUAAUGAUGGCCAGGCUGUCUCCACCCGAGACUCAGUGAAAUUGAACUCGCUGUGAAGAUGCAGUGUACCCGCGGCAAGACGGAAAGACCCCGUGAACCUUUACUAUAGCUUGACACUGAACAUUGAGCCUUGAUGUGUAGGAUAGGUGGGAGGCUUUGAAGUGUGGACGCCAGUCUGCAUGGAGCCGACCUUGAAAUACCACCCUUUAAUGUUUGAUGUUCUAACGUUGACCCGUAAUCCGGGUUGCGGACAGUGUCUGGUGGGUAGUUUGACUGGGGCGGUCUCCUCCUAAAGAGUAACGGAGGAGCACGAAGGUUGGCUAAUCCUGGUCGGACAUCAGGAGGUUAGUGCAAUGGCAUAAGCCAGCUUGACUGCGAGCGUGACGGCGCGAGCAGGUGCGAAAGCAGGUCAUAGUGAUCCGGUGGUUCUGAAUGGAAGGGCCAUCGCUCAACGGAUAAAAGGUACUCCGGGGAUAACAGGCUGAUACCGCCCAAGAGUUCAUAUCGACGGCGGUGUUUGGCACCUCGAUGUCGGCUCAUCACAUCCUGGGGCUGAAGUAGGUCCCAAGGGUAUGGCUGUUCGCCAUUUAAAGUGGUACGCGAGCUGGGUUUAGAACGUCGUGAGACAGUUCGGUCCCUAUCUGCCGUGGGCGCUGGAGAACUGAGGGGGGCUGCUCCUAGUACGAGAGGACCGGAGUGGACGCAUCACUGGUGUUCGGGUUGUCAUGCCAAUGGCACUGCCCGGUAGCUAAAUGCGGAAGAGAUAAGUGCUGAAAGCAUCUAAGCACGAAACUUGCCCCGAGAUGAGUUCUCCCUGACUCCUUGAGAGUCCUGAAGGAACGUUGAAGACGACGACGUUGAUAGGCCGGGUGUGUAAGCGCAGCGAUGCGUUGAGCUAACCGGUACUAAUGAACCGUGAGGCUUAACCUUACAACGCCGAAGCUGUU
rnacentral:rRNA from 1 species